rnacentral:rRNA from 1 species
GACGAACGCUGGCGGCGUGCUUAACACAUGCCAGUCGAACGGAAAGGCCCCUUUGGGGGUCCUCGAGUGGCGAACGGGUGCGUAACACGUGAGUAACCUGCCCUUGACUUCGGGAUAACUUCAGGAAACUGGGGCUAAUACCGGAUAGGAAUCCUUGCUGCAUGGUGGGGGUUGGAAAGCUUCGGCGGUUUUGGAUGGACUCGCGGCUUAUCGGCUUGUUGGUGGGGUAGUGGCUUACCAAGGCGUUGACGGGUAGCCGGCCUGAGAGGGCGACCGGCCACAGUGAGACUGAGAUACGGCCCAGACUCCUACGGGAGGCAGCAGUGGGGAAUCUUGCACAAUGGGCGGAAGCCUGAUGCAGCAACGCCGCGUGCGGGAUGACGGCCUUCGGGUUGUAAACCGCUUUCAGCAGGGGCGAAGCUUGUGGUGACGGUACCUGCAGAAGAAGCACCGGCUAACUACGUG